GCGAGAACAUGCUUCAGGGGAAGAAAAACAUGCUGCUGAUCUGGGAAACGAUUAAACCUAGAUUCGUACUGACAAGUUUUCUCUUCUCCCAGAGGGAGAUGGCGCUGGGAGUAAGAGUAUAGACAGAAAUAUGAGAAAGUGGGUGGGAGAGAGGGGGAGGGAAGAAAGAGAUUAUAGCCGAGGAAAGACUGGUUAUCGUAAUUAAAUGGAAGUGUAUUUUAUCCUCAUCCAAUUGAUUUGUGCCAAGGGCAGUGUGUGUAUAACCAAAGGAAAAGGUGCUCUGCAAUUCUGGUUUGGAGCCGGCAUUGGUGUUUAUAGCAGAUGUGAAUAUUGCAGUCAACAAUCUAUUUACCGGUAGUUUGUCAUAUAACUCCGAGCCACAUUGCACAGCUGCCAGAUGCAACUGGGCUCAUGUAGGGGUUUGAGAACGCAAACACGAUGAGACGAAACACGGCGUGCAAAAAUAAAGAAAGAAUGAGAGAGAAAAGACUGAAAUUGAUUUUUUUUAAACUUUCCUCCUUCCCUUUUUGAUUCUCUUUCUAUCCGUUUUUGAUUUUAGGAAGCUAAUGUUAACCGCUGUGUCAAAUGCUUUUAGCUCCGGGCAAUGUGCAUUAAGCAUAUUUUUGCAAUUUUUGUGACCUGCGUUCUCUCUGGGGUUUUUCCCAUUAAUGGGAAUGACAUUUCAUUUAUCCCCCAUCAUUCAUCUUUCCUGGCUCUCGCCUUUCCCACCUCGCCCCCGCCCCCAGCACUCGCCUGGCCCUCUUUUUUGCUCUCUUUCUACUACUGUAUGCCCAUGCACUGUAUUUAUGAAAUUAUCUUUUCAUUUGACAAAUUAUGCUUUGACAAUAUUCUCAUGAAAGACAGAAUCGGGUAAUUUGGCACUAACUAGGCUGGAACACCCAAGUGUAAUUUUAGUAAGUGCAUCACCACAUUGACAGUUUUUACAACUGUAAAUCCCAAAGGGGCAUCUGUACUCCGACAUACAACAAAGCCAGAAAGACAUUCCGCGCACGAGACAAAUGAGUCUUUCAAGCUCCAAAAAUCUGCCAACCCUCUGACCGCCCACCCUGCAAUACACGUGAAAUUGUAACAGGUUUGGGCUGGCAACAACUCCCGUUUGGCCCUCCAUUGUGCCAAUUACAAGGAUUUUAUUGAAGUUGAAAUUAUCUCUCUUCCAAAACAUGGACUGUUUGUGUCCUUUGUUUUGUUUAUUCACAAGUGAACAAAUAAUUUACCUGGCCUUGUUUGAUGCAUCCGGUGUGAGUGCUUGUAAUUGUCUUUAUAGUUUCAGUAAAAUGUGGGACAAGAGCACCUUGACUGCUCAGCCUGGGUAUUUUCUCUGAGAGUGAGACGUUGUUGAAAUUGAUUUUUAAAGGCCCCCGGUAAGGAAGGAAUGCACAUGACUCAACAGUUGUCAAGCUGUUCACAUUUGAAGAAAAUUAACUUUUAUGAGUGUUCAAGUCAAAACCAUUGCAGGAUAAAGAGCCCCUUGGGUAGCGACAGAACCUAUCGCUUGGUUGUCGACAGAAGUGUCUGCUGUUUGUAUUUUUAUUUUAUUUUAUUUUUGUUUACAUGAAAGCGUGAGUGUGUAUUACUGGAGGUCAUUGAACACAAUCUGCUUCAAUAAGAUGGUCGAUCUGAUGUGUUGUAAUUUCGAAUAAAUAAUCCGCAUUGCAAGUUGAGCAUGAAAAAAAUAUGAUCCUCAGUGAAACCCUUUCUAAAUAACACAAGCAAAUGUUUUACAGUAAUUUCUCAAAAAUAACAUGCACUCCAACAUUAUACCACACCCCCACUACCAAAAAUCACCUUUCAAAAUAAGAUCAGAUAUCCUUUAUUUGUCCCACACUGGGGAAAUGUACAGUAUACAGCAGCAAAAUUGCGGGGAAGAAGAAGAAAAGUGUCUGCAUGCACAAAAAUAAAUGUUUCAGAGAGAGCUGUACAUAGUUCAAUUAAGUGCAAUAUAGAUAUAGAUAAGGUUGCUGUGCUAUUUACAAUUGUUAUUGGUUUUUCACGCAUUUAAUUUUUUAUUCAGUACAAAAAGCAAUUUAGUUUUUCCAUGCUCAUGUAUGACUCAAAUAUUAAAGUAGAGUCCUCAUUGUAAUUUUGAUAUAUUGGGAUUUCAUGUGCUCAGGGCACAUGGGAUGUGCAGCGUCUCCGUAGAUGACAGGGAAUUGUAAAAAUGGGGUAUGUGUGGAAAAUACCUGUACUUUUUGUCACCCGGGAAACCAACAACAGUAUUUUUUUUUUAAUCUGGUAAAAUAUGUUUGUUUCUAUUCAUUGUAAUUUAUUUGUUUGUUGACCCCAAAAAUAUGCAAAACUUUUUCAAUGAUGUCAUGAUCAAUGGGGAAGCAGCAAAAAUAUUUUUGUGGAGCCCAAGAAAGGGACUCACGGGCGAAACUGAAAAAGGUGAAAUUCAUGCUGUUAUAUAUUUUUUUUCUGAAGAGGGUAUGAUCAGCCGUUUUAUUUUCUGGUACUGCAUCAAACUAACGUUGGUGGAUUGGUUAGCGCGUUCGCCUCAGAGCGCAAGAAGUUGUGAAUUUGAAUCCAGCCACAGCCUUCCUGUGUGGAGUUUGCAUGUUCUCACCAUGCCUGCGUGGGUUUUCUUCGGGUGCUCCGGCUGCCUCCCACAUUCCAAAAACAUGCAUGUUGAUUGGACCCUCUAAAAUUGUCCGUAGGUGUGAUUGUGAGCGCGAAUGAUUGUUUGUUUAUGUGCGCUUUGCGAUUGGCCAGCAACCAGUUCAGGGUGUCCCCCCGCCUACUGCCCAAUGACGGCUGUGAUAGGUUCCAGCACGUCCGCAACACUCAUGAGGAUCAGAAGCGGAUCAGAUCAUGGAUGGAUGGAUGGAUGCACCAAAAUAAAUGUCACCUCGCUUUUAUUGUAUUCAUUCAGCAGUCAGAAUUUCCCUUCCACAUCUCUCUCUACUUUUGGCAUUGUUCUGCCUGGCUGCGUCGCAGUGAACAUCUGAUCGCAUGUACUCAGCUGUAACUGCAGCAAUCAUGACUCUCUGGAAGGGGAAAUGUUUCACCGUGCUGCCUUGUCCUUUGAUUUUGCCUGAGGAAUUAUCACGGAGGCUGAAUUUAUGAACUUUAGAGAGAUACCAUUCAAUUAUGUUGAAGGUGACCUGUGAUCCUUUCCCAUUUUGCUCCUGCAACUUCGAAGGUUGGCGGUAUCAGAUGGAAAAAGGCUAAGCCGAUACACAUGCUGCAUGGUGAUGACUGAGCAUAUCUAUUACGUGUAUGCUUAUCGUUGAUUGAUCUGCCUUGCAGACGAACUUGUUUCACGUCAUUUCCCAUCAACGUAAUCCAGUCUACUAAAUGUACUCCUGAGGGCUAGGCCCAGUAUAUUGUCAGAAAAAUAGAUCCAUGCUAGCAAUUGUUAUUCUCAAUGAAAACAGCUUUUUUUUUGUGGGGGGGGGACAUAGUUCCAGGCGUUUCAGCCGGCCAAUUGAGCUUUUCACCAUUUAGUCUCUGAUAAGGGAUAUCUAUUGUUCCUCAGCUAAAAUGCUUAUUGCACUCGGUGACUGGCUUUGGUGCCUCAAUAUUGUAAAGAGUUGGUGUCCCAGACGUUCGUGUAGAAUUGUGAAGUGAUCCACCUAAUAUAGUUCCAGAUGGCCUACACGAAGGCCAUAUCAAAUAUAGCAUCUAAAAAAACUGCUCAAUUUAAAAACUCAUGUCUCAUCCGUGACUACUUCUCAGAUUUUUAGAAAGUAAAACUAUAUGGCAAGAUACGGGUUAGCAUACAAAAUGCGAUUGACGGGUUUGUAUCUUAACCCUUUUAUGCACCCUGUAACCUGAUAACAUGAUAAGCUGUCCACUGCAGUAACCACUGACCCUCAAAGGGUUAAUUGGAACAUUUUCAUCUCGUAAAUAAAAACAGCAGUAUCCUCACCCUGAAAAUAUUGUCUUAAACAGUUUUAAGCCUGCAAGAAAGAAAACGUACACUCCUAUGGAGACAUAUAGGCUGAUAUACAUCGACUAGAAUUCACUGAGUGGCUUUUACCUUGCACAUGGACAAACAUUUGCAACCUUUUCGUUUCAUUUUUGUUUGUUUAUUGGACAUAAAACAUAUACAGUAAUAAUUUGACAGAAAGUAAGGGAAGUAAAAUAGUAAAAAGGAAAGACAAAUCAUUUACAGUAACACUUGUACAUCAUAUCAAUGGGCCAGUCUGUUAUUAUAAGCUGCAGUUGAUGCCUUUAUUUUUGACAGUAUAGUUUAGCCAUUUUACCAUUUGAAAAAAAGCUUAAAACUGUGCACUUAGCACAAAUAUGACAUUCAUAUCGGCAGAGGCGAGAAUAAUGGACAAUUAUAAAUGAUAAUAAAUUCAUACAUGUAGCCAAUAUGGCAGUUGUUGAUAAACACUUACUAGACAGUUCGGCCAAUGAUGCGUGAGGCAAUUGUGUCGGUAUUUCUGCCAGAGGAACGGUUUUUUGAAAGUGCUCAUUCUGGGUUCGGUGAACAGUUUUAGAACGGCAGUUCAUUUUUGUGCCAAGUUUCAUUAGACUUCCAACACGCCUUCAUAUGUAGUGGGGGUAAAAAAAAAGAUACUAUGGGGUAUGAAAGUAAAAACUUUUCCCAAUGGCUUUAAUGAAUCUAUACAAUAGGAAUUUAACUUUUCCACCAUAUUUUAAUUUAUUGAGAUGUUGGCAGCGACUUGCAGUUGUACAUUAUCAGAUUUGUUCAUUGAUUAUCUUUUUGGUUCGGGAGUGCCGUUAUUUCUAUAAUUGCAGACAUUAUCUUUAAGAUUCUUGAGAGCUUACUGUACUUGUGUUCUGUCUCGAAUUAAUGCAGUGUGAGAGGUAUGGGGUGGCUGGGGUUUUGCCUUUUCAUCAUACAAAUCAGUAGGCAGACGCAGAAAUGUUGCAUGAUGUGUGUGUGUGUGUGUGUGUGUGCGCAUGCGUGCGUAUAGGCUUGUGCACAGCUAAAUUAUUGCAACUGCAAAGGGCAAUCUGCAAUCAGUGCUUUGCUCAAUCUCCUCAGUUUAUGCAAUUACAAGUCUGAUGAGGUUGUGUGCGUAUGUGUGUGUGGAAAGCGUGAAGUAGAUUCCAUGUGUAGGAGUCCAUAUAUUACAGUCUGAACAGUAAGACCAUCAGGCGACUUUGUUAUUUGUUGAUCAAUUGAGCUUUUCUAAAUGGUGCAGUGCCCUACUUUUACUUCAGUUCAUCAUGAAAGUAGCGGUCUUGUUUUGUUGAGACAUCACAUCCCAAAUUGGUUAACAAUGACUCCAGGUUAAUGACUUGUGACCUCUGUUUAGCCUGCUUUAGCAUAGUGUGGUGUUUUUUUUUACCUAGAACACAAGUUUCCUAUCUGAAAAUACAUUUAGUUCCAGAAGUAUUUAGAGAAUUACUUUUAAACACCACAAUGUAUUUGUGAUAUUUAAUUGGAGAGUCAGCUUUAAUUUGGUGGCUUUACAAGAUUUUUUGCUCCUCCCUGAGCCAUCGUCUCAGGGGUUGUUUGUUUGCAACGGCCUUCACCCUUGGCGGGUUGAACUGGCUUCUUCCUCGGCACGCACGACAUCACCGAUCAUGGCGGCCCAAGCGCGGCGAUCCUGUGCAAGGUCAACCAACAGCCUCAGCCAGUCCUGGUUCCACAGUCGCAGACCCUCGACCUGGGGGCCGGAAUAGGUACGCGAGGUGUUCUUUCAUCGUGGUGGCCCAGGUCUUGACUUGUCCACCACGCCGCUUACCGCAGGCUGGCAAAGGAGCAGGAAGAAGAACUACCUUGAUCAACUCGCCCUCCUGGUGGCGUGCCGCAUGCCCAGACCAACGGAGUCGGCGUUGCAGGAGAAUCGCGGGUAAGGGACGAAGGUGCAGGCAGCGGCGAAGGGCAGCAGUAUGGACCCUGUCCGAUCGGCGGCGGCGGAGAAUACGGCAGAGGCAAUCGUUGUCGAAGACUUCCAGCUUGCGCUGGUCAGCCACUCUCAAAGGCCAAGUCUCACAGCCAUAAAGCAGCAUGGUCCGCACGAUCGCCUGGUUGACGCGCCCUUUUAUCACCGCCGAGAUCUCGCGCCGACCCCACAGAUGACGUUGUAGGCGCACAAAGGCAGAUCUGGCGGCCCCAAUGCGGUGAUCGACUGCCGCUUCUCGUUGUCCCAACGGAAACACAGAGGGGCCGAGAUACGUGAAGGAAUCGACUGCCUCCAGCGACAGCGGACGUUGGUCAGCUGGGUUGGUGAAGGAGGACAUGAUCUUGGUCUUAAAGGCAUUGAUGCGCAUCCCAAAGGUCAGGGCCGUUCGCUGGAUUUUCGUCAGUGCAUUUUCAACUUCCUCGAACGUGUUUCCAAGUAGAGCGAUAUCAUCUGCAUAUGCGAGGUCCGACACUGCGACAUCUCGGCCGACUUUCACACCCUCAAAGCCAUGGAGAGCAGUGUUGAGAAUGUGACCGAUGGCAUAGUUAAACAAGGUUGGCGAGAGCGCGCAGCCUUAUCAGACACCUGACCGCACCUCGAAGGCUUCUGAUUCGGUGCUGUGGGCCGGCACUUGGACUCGGUUUGACCGGUACUAUCCCUGGAUGAGCCGAAGCAGUUUCACAGGGAUCCCGUUAGCCUGCAUGAUCCUCCACAAAGCACCCCGGUCGACUGAAUCAAAUGCCGCGGCAAAGUCGAUGAAGCACACGACUGUCAGUUGUUGGUAGGCCCAUCGUUGCUCCAGGGUGCGACGCAGACUAAAGAUCUGGUCUACACAGAUCAGAUUGCCUUUUCGGGGGGAGCCAUCCCAAUGAUCCCAUAAGCUAAGUUGGCUGGGGCGCUAUGCCCCUGGCAGGGUGACCCUUGGGAAAUACAUUCUUAGGGAGUAGCAAAGUGUUUUUUGUCCUUGCUGUGGAACAUUGGAACUGCUCUACACCCUCAGCAGGGCCCUCGAGGAUGCAUAUGAGUUAUCCCAACCAAUCUAUAGGUUUCUAGUGGACUUGGAGAAGGGGCUCAACCUGAGGGAAUUCUAUGGGCAUUGCUUUGCGAGUAGUGGGUGCCAAACCCCCUGACACGGGUUGUUCAGUCCCCGUACGACUGAUGUCGGAGUUUGGUCCGCAUUGCUCUCAGUAAGUUGGUUUCAUUUACAGUGAAAGUUGGACUUGGCCAAGGCUGCCUUAUGUCGCUGAUUGAUGGUGAUAACCUUAAUGGACAGAAUUUUUAGAUGCAGUUGAGGCAUUGUGGGGUCCAUUUUGGUGGCCGAAGCAUUGCAUCUAUUUUUGCUGAUGUAAGUCUGACGGCUUCAUCACACCACGAUCUUCAACUCUCACUGGAGCGGUUCGGAGCACAGAGUGAUCCAAGUGGAAUGAGAAUCUUCACCUCCAAAUCUGAGACCAAAUCUGAAAAGUUUUGAGUGCCCGCUCUAGCUAGAGGAUGAGACCCUGCCCCAACUGGUUGAGUACAAGUAUCUUCGGGUCAUGCUCAUGAGUGAGUGAAGAAUGGAACAAGAGAUCAAGAGGCAGACCUACACACCAUCUGCAAUGAUGCAGACUCUGUAUCAGUCUGUUGUGGGGAAAAAGUUGAGCCGAAAGACAAAACUCUCGACUAACUGGUCGAUCUGUAUUCCAAACCUCACCUAUGGUCAUGAGCUGAGAUUUGUGGCCGAACAAGAUACCUUAUACAAGCGGCCAAAGUUACUUUUCUCUGAAGGGUGUCGGGCUCUCCCUUAGAGAUAUGUUAACUCUCGAUCUUCUUCAGAGUCAUGCCACUAAUUGUCCGUGUUGAAGUGGGCCAGAUGAGUUGGCUCGGGGAUCUGGUUGGCAUAAAAUCCUCGACGCCUCCCACCUAGAGCAGGCCCUAGGGAGGAACGACCUAGGACACGUGCACCUCUUCCUAGCUGGCUUUGGAACACCCCCCGCCCCCCACACACACACACACACACCACCACCACCACCACCACCACCCCAACACCACCAGAAGAGCUGGGUGAAGUGGCAGGGAAAGAGCAGCCUGGAUUUCCCCGCUAAAAGAUGAUGGCCCUGCAUAUUGACCUCGGAUAAAUGUAACAAAAUGGAUGUAUGGCUGGAGGAACGAAAGCUUUUCGGAAAUCCUUCCAUACAUCCAUCAAUUUUCUACCGCUCAGAAAACCACUCGGAAAUACUGUAUAUCUUAUAAAAACAGAGUACCUACAUUUAAAGGGCAUCACAUGUAUUUGGACUGAGUGACACAACUAAAUC